rnacentral:rRNA from 1 species
AGCGAACGCUGGCGGCAGGCCUAACACAUGCAAGUCGAACGGAUCCUUCGGGAUUAGUGGCGGACGGGUGAGUAACACGUGGGAACGUGCCCUUUGGUUCGGAACAACUCAGGGAAACUUGAGCUAAUACCGGAUGUGCCCUUCGGGGGAAAGAUUUAUCGCCAUUGGAGCGGCCCGCGUCUGAUUAGCUAGUUGGUGGGGUAAAGGCCCACCAAGGCGACGAUCAGUAGCUGGUCUGAGAGGAUGAUCAGCCACAUUGGGACUGAGACACGGCCCAAACUCCUACGGGAGGCAGCAGUGGGGAAUCUUGCGCAAUGGGCGAAAGCCUGACGCAGCCAUGCCGCGUGAAUGAUGAAGGUCUUAGGAUUGUAAAAUUCUUUCACCGGGGACGAUAAUGACGGUACCCGGAGAAGAAGCCCCGGCUAACUUCGUGCCAGCAGCCGCGGUAAUACGAAGGGGGCUAGCGUUGCUCGGAAUUACUGGGCGUAAAGGGAGCGUAGGCGGACUGUUAAGUUAGAGGUGAAAGCCCAGGGCUCAACCUUGGAAUUGCCUUUGAUACUGGCAGUCUUGAGUACGGAAGAGGUAUGUGGAACUCCGAGUGUAGAGGUGAAAUUCGUAGAUAUUCGGAAGAACACCAGUGGCGAAGGCGACAUACUGGUCCGUUACUGACGC